UGUCUUCGGGGCAGGGUGAAAUUCCCGACCGGCGGUAAAGUCCGCGAGCUGCCACGGCAGCAUGAACCGGUGUAAUUCCGGUACCGACAGUACAGUCUGGAUGGAAGAAGGCA
rnacentral:ncRNA from 1 species